GACGAACGCUGGCGGCGUGCUUAACACAUGCAAGUCGAACGGAGAGCGACGGAAGCUUGCUUCUAUCAAUCUUAGUGGCGAACGGGUGAGUAACGCGUAAUCAACCUGCCCUUCAGAGGGGGACAACAGUUGGAAACGACUGCUAAUACCGCAUACGAUCUAACCUCGGCAUCGAGGAUAGAUGAAAGGUGGCCUCUACAUGUAAGCUAUCACUGAAGGAGGGGAUUGCGUCUGAUUAGCUAGUUGGAGGGGUAACGGCCCACCAAGGCGAUGAUCAGUAGCCGGUCUGAGAGGAUGAACGGCCACAUUGGGACUGAGACACGGCCCAGACUCCUACGGGAGGCAGCAGUGGGGAAUCUUCCGCAAUGGACGAAAGUCUGACGGAGCAACGCCGCGUGAGUGAUGACGGCCUUCGGGUUGUAAAGCUCUGUUAAUCGGGACGAAAGGCCUUCUUGCGAAUAGUGAGAAGGAUUGACGGUACCGGAAUAGAAAGCCACGGCUAACUACGUG
rnacentral:rRNA from 1 species